UACGUAGGGUGCGAGCGUUAAUCGGAAUUACUGGGCGUAAAGCGUGCGCAGGCGGCUAUUUAAGCUUGCUGUGAAAGCCCCGGGCUUAACCUGGGAAUGGCAGUGAGGACUGGAUGGCUGGAGUGUGGCAGAGGGGGGUGGAAUUCCACGUGUAGCGGUGAAAUGCGUAGAGAUGUGGAGGAACACCGAUGGCGAAGGCAGCCUCCUGGGCCAACACUGACGCUCAUGCACGAAAGCGUGGGGAGCAAACAGG
rnacentral:rRNA from 1 species